AGUUUCAUGCCCUUCCAAGGAAGUAGGACAAUGAUGUUACUUAUUAUCCCGAAAAAUUAGAAUUCCCACGGAUU